rnacentral:tRNA from 1 species
GCCUGGGUGGCUCAGUUGGUUAAGCAUCUGACUUCAGCUCAGGUCAUGAUCUUGUGGUUUGUGGGUUCAAGCCCCGCAUUGGGCU